GAUGAAGAACGCAGCGAAAUGCGAUAAGUAAUGUGAAUUGCAGAAUUCAGUGAAUCAUCGAAUCUUUGAACGCACCUUGCACCCUUUGGCAUUCCGAAGGGUAUGCUCGUUUGUGUGUCAUUGUACUCUCACACUUCCAAUCUUUGGAUUGGGAGCAGUGGACUUGGGUGUUGCUGCUUACUGUGGCUCACCUCAAAUCGAUUCGUGCACCUCUUGGUUGGACAUAGUACGGCGUGAUAAGUGUCUUCGCCGGCACCUCAGUAGAGGGUGGCUGAUCAGGAGCUCUGUGCUUCAAACCGUCCUCGGACAAAAACUGACAACUUGACCUCAAAUCGAGUAGGACUACCCGCUGAACUUAAGCAUAUCAAUAAGCGGAGGA
rnacentral:misc_RNA from 1 species